rnacentral:lncRNA from 1 species
CCAUCUAGAUCAUAUCAAACUCCUCGUGGUGUGGCUGCUCUUGAACCACCAGUUCUUCUCCUGUGGGGGGUGUGAGACAGCAAGGGUGAGCUCACACAUGUUCAUCUCUCAACAAGUUGUGGGGAAUAAUGUGGCAUGAACUCAUCAAAGGUGGGAUUUCAUGUGAUGUGUAAGGCUGAUCAACAAUAGAGGUUAAAGCUGAGCAUUGCUUUUAAUAAGUUGGUCAAAUUUUAUUAGCAAUUACUAAAUGUAAGUAAAUACCAAACCAUAAUAAAUAAUAGAACAAAAUUAAUAAAUAAUCCCAUGCAAUGCAUAUGAUAAAUUGAAUUUAGUUUCAUAGUUUAAUCAUGCGAGAGUCCUGAGCUGCUCUUGACCGUGAGCUCGGCUAGUAUACCAGUUUUACACUCUGCAGAGGUUGUACCCUGUACCCACAAGUCAUGUUACCCUUCUGCCAAGGGGUCAUGAAUCUCAUACACCUCUACCAAGGAAGCGAGGCAGGGUAACACUACGAGGCCUUUACAAAGUUCCACUAGCUUUCGAAAACCCGAUACAGUUUAUGGGAAGAGCACUUGCAAGAAUCCCUCAUCUGACCGCCAUCGCAGCAAAAUCAACCCGAGAACCUCCCUGCAUGCAACUCCCCUACUGCCCUUGCCCCUUUCGGGUAAGGUAGUCUUCCACUUGCUUUCCUAAUUAGUUAGCCAAGGGCGUCCCAUUCCACCCUUGUGGUGGCACGUGUUUCUCAAGUUAAGCUCCCUGUUCCAAUUAAAAUAAUAUAAUGAUCUUGACAUGAACAUAAAUAACAUAACAAAAUAAUUGGAACAUGGACAUAAUGAAAUAUUAACCCAAAACAAAUAAAGCAAUAGCAAACUACCCAAAUGAUUUAGGGGUAAACAAGGUAAAGAUAAUCAGUCUAGGGUGACCUAAGGGGUCCCAUCAAAAUUAAACCUAUGCAUUGAUAAGUGAUAAUAAAGAACAUUAUUGGGUAACAAAAGUGGUCAAGGGCACAACUUGCGUGGCACUUGAGAUUCCAGGUACCAGGGCGAUUCUUCAGAUCCUUGUGUCCGCACUGCUAGUCAUAGCAAUACAAACAAACAUGGUAUAGACAAAAUUAACAUCACACCAAACAUAAGAACAAACUGCAUAAUAAUGAUCUACGCGUUGCUGCGAGAUCGUGGGAUCGAGAACUACUAUGAUCGGAGUCACGAUUAAGGAGUUAUGAUUGAUGGAAGAUCUAUAUGGUUUGAAUAUUAAAUUAUAUUAUAAAUUGGUUAUUAUACCUCCUAUAGGAAAAUAUACUCUAAACAAUUGGUUUAACUUUAAUCCAGAUUAUAACUUGUUUUAGAAAUCAUAUUAUAGUUAAAUUAUAAUUAUAGGCAUGUCAAUCUUGAUUAGUAAAGUAAUUCUACUACUAAAAGGGGAAACAAAUACUUAAUUAUAAAAGUAUAGAACAUAGUACAAAUAACAUUGCUACUGCGUAGAAAAUAUUUUUAUGAAGCAAAUGCAACUGGAACGGAUUAAAUCGGAGAUAAAAUAAAGAAGAUAUGAAUUUCCUAAGAUUUUAUAUUUAUUUUUACACUAAAAACUAUUUUUCCAGAUUUCUUUUAAGCUUCACGGACUGCGCCCACAAUUCUCUAGAAUCUCAGGGGGUCACAUGCAAAUUCUAGGACCCAACGGUAACAAUCCUAGCACUGGUCGAGAUUGCGGUUUAAUUAUCAUAAAACUAAGGGUAUCUUUAUGAAUUCUUACCCAGCUAAACUCCACAGGUGGUCGCAAGCCAUUGAUCGCUAGAUCUGCGGAUCGGAUCCAAUACGCGAAGGGGUAUGCGACGAUAUAAUCUUGGCCAUCCACUGAGGAUCGGACGGUACUAAGCGUAUGAGAUCUGAAACCUGCCCAACUCCACACGAUUAACGUCCAAUGGCCCAGAUCCCCUACCCCGAACCGUUGCACAUGAUCUAAUCCAAGGCGUUGGCUCGAGGAUCAACGGUUCCAGCCCGACCUCCCCUCCUUCUUCCCUAACACUGGAGGGCGGCACAAGCACAAGUACGGCGGCGCCUCACCGGCGUACGCAGGUCCCCGGGCUCUGGUGACCGAUCAAUAAUACCAACAGAUGCUACGUGAAGCGGGUAACAACGUGGACAGAAGGGUGGGUGGCUUACCAUGACUCGCGCCGCUAUAAGUCUUGGCCACGGCGUAUGAUGGCCCCGUGGUGUCGUCGUUGCUCCGUUGAGCAAUUAACCUCUUCUACGCCACCCACAGUGCCCGCUGGCGCGACUGAAAUUCCCCUCGAGAUCAGUGCAACCCACAGGGAUGGUCCCAAGGCUAGACUGGUGUCCCGGGCAAGAUCCGAUUGUGGCUCUCACAUCACCUCCCUCUCCGACGAGGCG